GACGAACGCUGGCGGCGUGCUUAACACAUGCAAGUCGAACGGAAAGGCCCUGCUUUUGUGGGGUGCUCGAGUGGCGAACGGGUGAGUAACACGUGAGUAACCUGCCCUUGACUUUGGGAUAACUUCAGGAAACUGGGGCUAAUACCGGAUAGGAGCUCCUGCUGCAUGGUGGGGGUUGGAAAGUUUCGGCGGUUGGGGAUGGACUCGCGGCUUAUCAGCUUGUUGGUGGGGUAGUGGCUUACCAAGGCUUUGACGGGUAGCCGGCCUGAGAGGGUGACCGGCCACAUUGGGACUGAGAUACGGCCCAGACUCCUACGGGAGGCAGCAGUGGGGAAUAUUGCACAAUGGGCGGAAGCCUGAUGCAGCAACGCCGCGUGCGGGAUGACGGCUUUCGGGUUGUAAACCGCUUUGGCCUGUGACGAAGCGUGCGUGACGGUAAUGGGUAAAGAAGCACCGGCUAACUACGUG
rnacentral:rRNA from 1 species